rnacentral:rRNA from 1 species
UACGUAGGGAGCAAGCGUUGUCCGGAAUCAUUGGGCGUAAAGCGCGCGUAGGUGGCCUCGUAAGUCCGCUGUGAAAGUCAAAGGCUCAACCUUUGAAAGCCGGUGGAUACUGUGGGGCUAGAGUACGGAAGAGGCGAGUGGAAUUCCUGGUGUAGCGGUGAAAUGCGCAGAUAUCAGGAAGAACACCAAUGGCGAAGGCAGCUCUCUGGGACGGUACUGACGCUGAGACGCGAAAGCGUGGGGAGCGAACAGG